rnacentral:rRNA from 1 species
AACGAACGCUGGCGGCAGGCUUAACACAUGCAAGUCGAGCGCCCCGCAAGGGGAGCGGCAGACGGGUGAGUAACGCGUGGGAAUCUACCCAUCUCUACGGAAUAACGCAUGGAAACGCGUGCUAAUACCGUAUACGUCCUUCGGGAGAAAGAUUUAUCGGAGAUGGAUGAGCCCGCGUUGGAUUAGCUAGUUGGUGGGGUAAAGGCCUACCAAGGCGACGAUCCAUAGCUGGUCUGAGAGGAUGAUCAGCCACACUGGGACUGAGACACGGCCCAGACUCCUACGGGAGGCAGCAGUGGGGAAUAUUGGACAAUGGGCGCAAGCCUGAUCCAGCCAUGCCGCGUGAGUGAUGAAGGCCUUAGUGUUGUAAAGCUCUUUCACCGGUGAAGAUAAUGACGGUAACCGGAGAAGAAGCCCCGGCUAACUUCGUGCCAGCCGCCGCCGAAUAAC